CAAACAUCAAAAGCAUAGAGCAGGAAUUAGAGCAAUCAAACACAAUUAGUCGUAUCUAUGCAGUACAUUAAGAGAUGGCACUUCCACAGACUCUGGAGUGCUCAAUCCUGGAUGAACCAAGAUCAGCUGUCGGUCUAUUCAACAUCUUGCCUGAGUCAUCUGGGAAAAACAGUGAUUGAAUAUGAAGGCCAAGACACUCAGAACCAAAUUCGCCUUUCUCAUAUAUUAUGUAUAGAGUAAGAUAAAAUCUCUAGGAACAAACCUAGAAGACUUUGUAGCCAUAACACAUGGGAAAGUUCCUAUUUUUAGAUGAAAUGGCUAAAAAGAGAUGAAAUUUAUAAGGCCAAAUGAAAGGGGCAGAUUCCACUAUUUGAAUACAAUCCUUGAUACAAUGUGAAAUAUCUACUAGCCAGAGUGAAAUUUUGUAACUUGAAGCCUUUUUGCAACAAAUACAUAGGGAACAUCUCAAAUGUCAUUCCUACAGGCCCCAAUACUCCAUAAUAUGAGAAAAUAGUCGGUACUUGGCUUCUUA
rnacentral:misc_RNA from 1 species